rnacentral:rRNA from 1 species
GAUGAACGCUGGCGGCGUGCCUAAUACAUGCAAGUCGAGCGAACAGACGAGGAUCUUGCGCCUCUGACGUUAGCGGCGGACGGGUGAGUCACACGUGGAUAACCUACCUAUAAGACUGGGAUAACUUCGGGAAACCGGAGCUAAUACCGGAUAACAUGUUGAACCGCAUGGUUCAACAGUGAAAGACGGUCUUGGGGUCACUUAUAGAUGGAUCCGCGCCGCAUUCACUAGUUGGUAAGGUAAGGGCUUACCAAGGCGACGGUGCGAAGCCGACCUGAGAGGGUGGUCGGCCACACUGGCACUGAGGCACGGCAGCGACUCCUACGGUGGGCCGCAGUAGGGACUCUUCCGCGAUGGGGCAAAGCCUGACGGAGCGACGCCGGCUGAAUGCAGAAGGUCUUCGGAUCGUAAAACGCUGUUAGUCGUGAAAAACAAAUGUGUUAGUAACGAUGCCCGUCUUGACGGUACCUAGUCAGGAAGCCCCGGCUAACUACGUG